AACGUAGGACGCAAGCGUUAUCCGGAUUCACUGGGCGUAAAGGGUGCGUAGGUGGCCGGGUAAGUUUGAUGUGAAAUCUCCGAGCUCAACUCGGAAACUGCAUUGAAUACUAUCCUGCUUGAGGAUUGGAGGGGAGACUGGAAUUCUCGGUGUAGCAGUGAAAUGCGUAGAUAUCGAGAGGAACACCAGUGGCGAAGGCGAGUCUCUAGACAACUCCUGACACUGAGGCACGAAAGCUAGGGGAGCAAACAGG
rnacentral:rRNA from 1 species